CUGAUCCCCUGUCUUGUUUCUACAGUCCUCUAGGCCUCGUGUUCUUUCCUUGCACAAGAGGUUGGUACGGAAGUUGAAUUGUGCUCAAAGGUUGUGCCAUACACAGGUCCUCAAUGUGAGCACAGGAGAGGGGAUCCCGGGUGCGGCCCUUCGGUCUGGGGUGGUUCAGAGACGACUAGAGAAAUUACAAGGUUUCUCCAUUGUCCUGGGCCAAGAGGUCAUCAUAGAAACAUGUUGCCAGGACUGUCCGACCUCUUGUCUGCAUGACUAGGAUGACAUUCCCACUCCGCGGAUCCUCCAUCGGUCACUCCUGAAGCCUGUUGACAUCACAGCCUCCUUGGAUACUGUGCUGCUGUGUCCCUCUGUCUCUGUGUACAGCCCUGUAUACUGGGAACGAGAUGCACUGCCUCUAACCCAGCUGGACCUUCUCCAGAAGAACAGCUCCCACUCGCUGGAUCGCUCACGGGAGAAACGGCUACCUCAUCCACCACGCCUCUCUGUCUGACUCUGGAGUCUACUGCUGUUUUCAGGGGAGGGGGGGGGGGGGGGUACCUCCUGCAGGUAGAUGAGCAUGAACGCAUUCAGGUCCAGGCCCAAGUUGCGCUGGGCCAUACUGGCUUCAGAGCGAGUUGCCCUGUCUCUUCUCCUUCUCUGCCUUCAUAGUUCUAUUUCUGGUUAAAUUUGCCAGGCAAGAGAGUGGAAGAGGGGAUGACAGUCACCUAGGGAUAGGGGACCUUGCCAAUAUGUCUUCACCGACUACAAGUCCGUUCAUUUGAAGUUACUAUGGCCUAUUGUGAUUCAGCUAGGCACUCAAUGAAUAAAUGUGAU